rnacentral:rRNA from 1 species
GACGAACGCUGGCGGCGUGCUUAACACAUGCAAGUCGAACGGAAAGGCCCUGCUUUUGUGGGGUGCUCGAGUGGCGAACGGGUGAGUAACACGUGAGUAACCUGCCCUUGACUUUGGGAUAACUUCAGGAAACUGGGGCUAAUACCGGAUAGGAGCUCCUGCUGCAUGGUGGGGGUUGGAAAGUUUCGGCGGUUGGGGAUGGACUCGCGGCUUAUCAGCUUGUUGGUGGGGUAGUGGCUUACCAAGGCUUUGACGGGUAGCCGGCCUGAGAGGGUGGACGGCCACAUUGGGACUGAGAUACGGCCCAGACUCCUACGGGAGGCAGCGGUGGGGAAUAUUGCACAAUGGGCGGAAGCCUGAUGCAGCAACGCCGCGUGCGGGAUGACGGCCUUCGGGUUGUAAACCGCUUUCGCCUGUGACGAAGCGUGAGUGACGGUAAUGGGUAAAGAAGCACCGGCUAACUACGUG